UACGUAGGGUGCAAGCGUUAAUCGGAAUUACUGGGCGUAAAGCGUGCGCAGGCGGUUUUGUAAGUCUGACGUGAAAUCCCCGGGCUCAACCCGGGAAUUGCGUUGGAGACUGCAAGGCUGGAGUCUGGCAGAGGGGGGUAGAAUUCCACGUGUAGCAGUGAAAUGCGUAGAGAUGUGGAGGAACACCGAUGGCGAAGGCAGCCCCCUGGGUCAAGACUGACGCUCAUGCACGAAAGCGUGGGGAGCAAACAGG
rnacentral:rRNA from 1 species